AUUGAACGCUGGCGGCAGGCCUCACACAUGCAAGUCGAGCGAGCGGCGGACGGGUGAGUAAUGUCUGGGAAACUGCCUGAUGGAGGGGGAUAACUACUGGAAACGGUAGCUAAUACCGCAUACCAUCAGAUGUGCCCAGAUGGGAUUAGCUUGUUGGUGGGGUAACGGCUCACCAAGGCGACGAUCCCUAGCUGGUCUGCGAGGAUGACCAGCCACACUGGAACGGAGACACGGGCCAUACUCCUACGGGAGGCAGCAGUGGGGAAUAUUGCACAAUGGGCGCAAGCCUGAUGCAGCCAUGCCGCGUGUAUGAAGAAGGCCUUCGGGUUGUAAAGUACUUUUAGCGGGGAGGCGUUACCCGCAGAAGAAGCACCGGCUAACUCCGUGCCAGCAGCCGCGGUAAUAC
rnacentral:rRNA from 1 species